rnacentral:rRNA from 1 species
CCUACGGGGUGCAGCAGUCGAGAAUCAUUCACAAUGGGGGAAACCCUGAUGGUGCGACGCCGCGUGGGGGAAUGAAGGUCUUCGGAUUGUAAACCCCUGUCAUGUGGGAGCAAAUUAAAAAGAUAGUACCACAAGAGUAAGAGACGGCUAACUCUGUGCCAGCAGCCGCGGUAAUACAGAGGUCUCAAGCGUUGUUCGGAAUCACUGGGCGUAAGGCGUGCGUAGGCUGUUUCGUAAGUCGUGUGUGAAAGGCGCGGGCUCAACCCGCGGACGGCACAUGAUACUGCGAGACUAGAGUAAUGGAGGGGGAACCGGAAUUCUCGGUGUAGCAGUGAAAUGCGUAGAUAUCGAGAGGAACACUCGUGGCGAAGGCGGGUUCCUGGACAUUAACUGACGCUGAGGCACGAAGGCCAGGGGAGCGAAAGGGAUUAGAUACCCUAGUAGUC